GGGGCCUUAGCUCAACUGGGAGAGCACCGCACCCGCAGUGCGAAGACGGGGAUUCGAGUUCCCCAGGCUCCA
rnacentral:tRNA from 1 species